UCAUAUUUGUUCAACGAUCUCUAUUUUAGAAUCACUUUGAUUUAAUAUCCAAAUAAGUUGAGUACGUGUGUUUACUAUUUUUUACUAUUAUUUUGACCCAAACUAUUUCUCUUUGGUGGCUUAAUUUGUGUGGGUCGCGUGGCAAAUUCGAUUAGGAAUGCACUCAGCUGACGUCACGAAGCCCAUUUACCUACUUUUUGGAUCCACAUGGAAAACUGAAAACAAAAUGAUUUCCCAACACCCCGGGGAAAUUUGCUUCUAUAAACACACGUUCGAUAGCGAAGAGAUGCCUCUUACCGAAACUUUAUAAAAAGUAUUUUCCCGAGGACCGGGGCCAAUGUUGAUUUAACCCACAAAAACUGAAACAUGUGUGGAUUUUUUCCACUCCUCAGAGCAAAUUGCAGCGCAGACGGACACAUGGAAACCGAACAAAUGUGGGCGAACACGUUUUUAUCGCAGCGCAGCUCAGCUAACGAAAUGCAAUAAAUGUUGAUUAAAAUAAACGCACACUGGGGAGAAAAGGAUUUAAAAUAAUGAAGUUCAAUUAAAAGUGCACCAUAAAAAGUAGGCGUCCUCGUGAAUUUGAAAGAAAAAAUUUGCACAUGCGGAUGAAAAUGAAGACAAACCGCGUUUGAAUGCUUAUCAGUGGAGAAUAAAAGAAACUGCACCAAAUACAAAUAAAGGGGGAGUCGUAAAAACCAGAAAUAAUUAAUGAAAUUUGUGGUGAUGAAUGCAGUUCGUGGUAUCUUAUCGGACAUGAGGAAUGGAGCUCUUAUCGAGUGAACAGAAACCAGAACGGAAGCCUCACAAUGCCAGCCAGUUUUGAGAGACAGAACCUUAGCUUUAAGGACUCUGACCUUUUCUCGUUUUCUAUUUCGGAACAUUCCACAGCUAUCGCAUCUCUCCUUGCUGCCAUUGUGCUUAAUGACCUUUAAAAGCCACGCACAGACAGGUCACCGGAAUAUGGCAGACAUGCAGGCGGGGGGCCGCCCACGUCCACGCCCACUUCUCCCACUUUUCCGCUUCUCGCCGAGAGGAGAAGGCCAAACAAAAAUAAAAACAACACUUCAAACAAGACACACAUCACAAUUCAUAUUCUCAUGCCUGCUGCCAUUUUUGCUGAUUUUGCUUUGGGUUCGUAGCCGCUUUUCUUGGCAGCCAGUGUGUGUGUGUGUAAGUGUGUGCCCCAUCUUAAUCAUCGUUUUCAUCAUCAUUAUCAUUCGAAUCCACAUCAUCGCCAUCUUCAAGCUGUCUGCUGCAGCGGAGAUACAAACACACACAGCGAUCCAGAUACAUGCGACUCACGUAGAUACAAAAGCACGCAUGGUGUUGCUCUGCUCGCUUCUG